rnacentral:lncRNA from 1 species
CCAUUAGUAUAUUAGUAAAUUCUCCUUAGAAUAUAUUAUGGCUAAUUGAUUCCUAUACAUAUUUUACAUUGAAAUGUGUUAUUUUAAAUUAUUCUUUAAUUUAUUCUUUGAAGUUUCAUAUAUGUAUACAAUGUAUCCUGGCUAUAUCAAUAUCCCAACUCCCUCCUUCGAAUCUCAAUCCAGGAUCACUUUCAAUACCCACAGCAUAAUUUCAGAAUUUCUUAUUUAGUUUUGAUUCCUGAAGAUUUAAAUAUUUGUACUUUAUGUGUGGAGAUUUGGGAAAGUGCAUAUAGAUAAUGGGAUAUUUUCGGGAUGUAUCAAUGACUAAAGAAGUAUAUUUAUAAUUAAGACAUACCUCAGACUCUAACAUGGGCUAAAUUUAUAUAACAUCUAUAACUAUUGUUUACAAUAGUUUUUUUUUUUUAAUGUGGCCCAACACAAAGUGAAAGUGCCAUUUUCUCAGUUACUGAUGUGAACAAUCUGUGCUUUCAGACAUCAUUAUCAUUCCUGAGUGUGAAUUUAUAUGCUAUAAAUUAUAUUGAUUACUAGUCACAUUUUCUUGUGUGUGUGUAUGGCUAAAGUUCCUGAAGAAAGAAAUUUAAGGAGUAAUGAUUUACUGUGAAUGCUUACUUUGUACACUGUAUUGGACAGUUGUUCAAAUACAUGUUUUGAUGAAGAUUUUUGGUGGAGAAUAAGUAGAACACGUGUCAAGGAACAUCAAAAUAUUUUAGUAUAUAGACUUUCUAGCUCUCUGUUAUAAAAUGUUUUAUACCAUUCAGAAGAUAUAUGUCUUGUGAUACAGAGACUAUUUUAGCAUAAACAUAGAUUGAUAUUUAUAACACUAAAAGAGCAAAGGCAUGUAUUUUUGCUCAUAACAGCAAAUUUAUACUUAUAUGUCUGUCUUUACUACAUUGCUCAUUUUAACAUUAUUUAACCUUGACAUACAUAUUUCCUAUAUGGACUAUAUCAUAAUAUAUAGUUUUUGUCUUUCAGAGACAACUCCAAAAUAUUUCAUUAGUUUUGCAGAUAUUUCUGGAAACAAAUUUUUAUAAUUUAUGAUUUUGGUAAAAUUAUUAAUGAAUUUCUCUGCAACUUCAUAGUCAACCAUAUUUAUUACAACAAAUGUAUAGGAAUUUAGUAAUAUCAUUUUUUUAAGUCUGCUUUUACAGAAGCCACUAAUACUGUGCUAGAGUUAUUUUAUGGCUUUAUAAUUAAAGAUAUUUGUUUAUUGGUACACCUAUAUUUUUUUAUAUAUAAGUUUACAGUUUCAAUAUACUCUCAAUGUAUUGCUCUCCUGAUGAGGAUGAAAUGUUUUUUUUAAGAAAAUAGAAUAUACUGGAAGCACAAUGUAUAGUGGCUUGAAUGAGGAAUAUAUGCCAUAGACUUAAUCAUUUGAAGGGUUGGUCAGUUGGUGGCACUGAGGUGGAGCUCUAGGGGGUGCAACCUUGCUGGAGUUAGUAUGCCACUAGGGGCAGGUUUGACAAUACGGGGUCUCUUACUACUACCCGCUUUUGCUGGAAGUGAAGAGUUUCUAGACUGCUUUUGGCAGAAUAACCAUUUUUACUAUAUUAAUCCUGCCAAUCCAUGAGCAUGGGAGAUCUUUCCAUCUUCUGAGAGCUUCUUUGAUAUCUUUCUUUAGAGACUUGGAAUUCUUAUCAUACAGAUCUUUCACUUCCUUAGUUAGAGUUACACCAAGGUAUUUUAUAUUAUUUGUGACUACUGUGAGGGGUGUUUCACUAAUUUCUUUCUCAUCCUGAUUAUCCUUUGUGUAGAGAAAGGCCAUUGAUUUGUUUGAGUUAAUUUUAUAUCCAGCUACUUCACUGAAGCUGUUUAUCAGGUUUAGGAGUUCUCUGGUUAAAUUUUUAGGGUCACUUAUAUAUACUAUCUGCAAAUAGUGAUAUUUUCACUUCUUCCUUGCCAACUUGUAUCCCCCUGACUUCCUUUUGUUGUCGAAUUGCUCUGGCUAGGACUUCAAGUACUAUAUUGAAUAGGUAGGGAGAAUGUGGGCAGCCUUGUCUAGUCCCUGAUUUUAGUGGGAUUGCUUCCAACUUCUCUCCAUUUAGUUUGAUGUUGGCUACUGGUUUGCUGUAGAUUGCUUUUAUUAUGUUUAGGUAUGGGCCUUGAAUUCCUGAUCUUUCCAAGACUUUUAUCAUGAAGGGGUGUUGGAUUUUUGUCAAAUGCUUUCUCAGCAUCUAACUAGAUGAUCAUGUGUUCUUUGUCUUUGAGUUUGUUUCUAUAGUGGAUUACAUUGAUGAAUUUCCAUAUAUUAAACCAUCCCUGCAUCCCAGGGAUGAAGCUUACUUGGUCAGGAUGGAUGAUUGUUUUGAUGUGUUCUUGGAUUCAGUUAGCAAGAAUUUUAUUGAGUACUUUUGCAUUGAUAUUCAUAUGGGAAAUUGGUCUGAAGUUCUCUGUCUUUGUUGAAUCUUCAUGUGGUGUAGGUAUCGGAGUAAUUGUGGCUUUGUAGAAUGAAUUGGGUAGAGUAUCUUCUGUUUCUAUUUUGUGGAAUAGUUUGAGAAGAACUGGAAUUAGGUCUUCUUUGAAAGACUUAUACAACUCUGCACUAAACACAUCUGGUCCUGGUCCUGGGCUUUUUUUUUUUUUUUUUUUUUUUUUUUUUUUUUUUUUUUUUGGUUAGGAAACUAUUAAUGGCUGCUUCUAUUUCUUUAGGAGAUACAGGACUGUUUAGGUCAUUAAUCUGAUCCUGAUUUAGCUUUGGUGCCUGGUAUCUGUCUAAAAUUUGUCCAUUUCAUCCAGGUUUUCCAGUUUUGUUGAGUAUAGCCUUUUGUAGAAGGAUCUGAUGGUGUUUUGGAUUUCCUCAGGUUCUGUAAGGCAAAAAACACUGUCAAUAAGACAAAAAGGCCACUAACAGAUUGGGAAAGGAAAAGAUCUUACCAAUCAUAAAUCAGAUAGGGGACUAAAAUCAAAUAUAUAUAUAUGUAUAUAUAUAUAUAUC